UAAGGUUCUGUUGCAAACGUCCCUCAUCAAUUGUAUCAGGGUAUUUCCAGCAUGGCAGGCAGUCACUUUAGUGGCCAACAGGGCAGAGGAUAAAGAGGACGUGGAUUUGGAGAUAGGUCAGGAGGUAGAAGUCAACUCCAAGGUUCUGCAAUGUAAGGUAGGGGUCAGGCUCAGGUUUUCACCUUGACCCACCAGGAUGCUCAGGCUUCCAAUGCAGUUGUGGCAGGUAUUCUUCU
rnacentral:misc_RNA from 1 species